CAGAUUUGUUGCCAGGCAGAUUUCAGCUCCGACUGAGAAACUUGCUUCAAGAUGGCUACCUCCUACUCCCACACUGGUUUCCCUUGUGAGUAGGCCUCAACUUCUCCAUGAUCACCUCUUGCUUUGUGACUUCCCAAGUUUUGACUAUAAUAACUCAGAUGAAGAUGAAGGAAAAAUCUCCAGGACAAUUUUUAAAAAUAAUAAACCAACAAUCAUACAAUUGACAUACAUACUUUCUUCAUUUACUGUCCAUAUAUAUGGUUCUCCAGACUCAUAAUACCUUUCUGUGGAUAAGACUUCUCUAGAAAAACCAAUAAAUUUGGGGUUGCUAGAGUUUCA
rnacentral:lncRNA from 1 species